GUGCCAGCAGCCGCGGUAAUACGUAGGGGGCAAGCGUUGUCCGGAAUCAUUGGGCGUAAAGAGCGUGUAGGCGGCUCGAUAAGUCUGCUGUGAAAGUCCAGGGCUCAACCCUGGAAGGCCGGUGGAAACUGUCGGGCUAGAGUCCGGAAGAGGCGAGUGGAAUUCCCGGUGUAGCGGUGAAAUGCGCAGAUAUCGGGAGGAACACCAAUGGCGAAGGCAGCUCGCUGGGACGGUACUGACGCUGAGACGCGAAAGCGUGGGGAGCAAACAGGAUUAGAUACCCUGGUAGUCC
rnacentral:rRNA from 1 species